rnacentral:rRNA from 1 species
UGAGGAAUUUUGCGCAAUGGGGGAAACCCUGACGCAGCGACGCCGCGUGGAGGAGGAAGGUCCUCGGAUCGUAAACUCCUGUCAAGAGGGACGAAUGCAUCAGGAAUGAAUAAGUCUUGGUGUUGACGGUACCUCUGAAGGAAGCCCCGGCUAACUCCGUGCCAGCAGCCGCGGUAAUACGGAGGGGGCUAGCGUUGUUCGGAAUUAUUGGGCGUAAAGGGCGCGUAGGCGGCCUGGUAAGUCAGUUGUGAAAGCCCUCGGCUCAACCGAGGAAUUGCGACUGAUACUGCCGGGCUUGAGUCCCGGAGAGGGUAGCGGAAUUCCCAGUGUAGCGGUGAAAUGCGUAGAUAUUGGGAGGAACAUCGGUGGCGAAGGCGGCUACCUGGACGGGUACUGACGCUGAGGCGCGAAAGCUAGGGGAGCAAACAGGAUUAGAUACCCCCGUAGUCC